rnacentral:rRNA from 1 species
GACGAACGCUGGCGGCGUGCUUAACACAUGCAAGUCGAACGAAGUGGCGAACGGGUGAGUAACGCGUAAUCAACCUGCCCUUCAGAGGGGGACAACAGUUGGAAACGACUGCUAAUACCGCAUACUGAAGGAGGGGAUUGCGUCUGAUUAGCUCGUUGGCGGGGUAACGGCCCACCAAGGCGAAGAUCAGUAGCCGGUCUGAGAGGAUGAACGGCCACAAUUGGACCGGGACACGGGCCAGACUUCUACGGGAGGGAACAGUGGGGAAACUUCCGCAAUGGACGAAAGGCUGGCGGAGCAACGCCGCGUGGGUGAUUACGGCCUUCGGGUUGUAAAGCUCUGUUAAGCGGGACGCGGUACCGGAAUAGAAAGCCACGGCUAACUACGUGCCAGCCGCCGCGGUAAUAC